UGCUGUGAACUCGAAGAGUAGGGCGGGACACGUGGUAUCCUGUCUGAAUAUGGGGGGACCAUCCUCCAAGGCUAAAUACUCCUGACUGACCGAUAGUGAACCAGUACCGUGAGGGAAAGGCGAAAAGAACCCCGGCGAGGGGAGUGAAAAAGAACCUGAAACCGUGUACGUACAAGCAGUGGGAGCCUCUUUAUGGGGUGACUGCGUACCUUUUGUAUAAUGGGUCAGCGACUUAUAUUCUGUAGCAAGGUUAACCGUAUAGGGGAGCCGAAGGGAAACCGAGUCUUAACUGGGCGUUAAGUUGCAGGGUAUAGACCCGAAACCCGGUGAUCUAGCCAUGGGCAGGUUGAAGGUUGGGUAACACUAACUGGAGGACCGAACCGACUAAUGUUGAAAAAUUAGCGGAUGACCUGUGGCUGGGGGUGAAAGGCCAAUCAAACCGGGAGAUAGCUGGUUCUCCCCGAAAGCUAUUUAGGUAGCGCCUCGUGAACUCAUCUUCGGGGGUAGAGCACUGUUUCGGCUAGGGGGCCAUCCCGGCUUACCAACCCGAUGCAAACUACGAAUACCGAAGAAUGUUAUCACGGGAGACACACGGCGGGUGCUAACGUCCGUCGUGAAGAGGGAAACAACCCAGACCGCCAGCUAAGGUCCCAAAGUCAUGGUUAAGUGGGAAACGAUGUGGGAAGGCACAGACAGCCAGGAUGUUGGCUUAGAAGCAGCCAUCAUUUAAAGAAAGCGUAAUAGCUCACUGGUCGAGUCGGCCUGCGCGGAAGAUGUAACGGGGCUAAACCAUGCACCGAAGCUGCGGCAGCGACGCUUAGGCGUUGUUGGGUAGGGGAGCGUUCUGUAAGCCGUUGAAGGUGUCCUGUGAGGGGUGCUGGAGGUAUCAGAAGUGCGAAUGCUGACAUAAGUAACGAUAAAGCGGGUGAAAAGCCCGCUCGCCGGAAGACCAAGGGUUCCUGUCCAACGUUAAUCGGGGCAGGGUGAGUCGACCCCUAAGGCGAGGCCGAAAGGCGUAGUCGAUGGGAAACAGGUUAAUAUUCCUGUACUUGGUGUUACUGCGAAGGGGGGACGGAGAAGGCUAUGUCAGCCGGGCGACGGUUGUCCCGGUUUAAGCAUGUAGGCGGAGGUUCCAGGUAAAUCCGGUACCUUGUUAACGCUGAGGUGUGAUGACGAGGCACUACGGUGCUGAAGUGAUAAAUGCCCUGCUUCCAGGAAAAGCCUCUAAGCAUCAGGUAACACGAAAUCGUACCCCAAACCGACACAGGUGGUCAGGUAGAGAAUACCAAGGCGCUUGAGAGAACUCGGGUGAAGGAACUAGGCAAAAUGGUGCCGUAACUUCGGGAGAAGGCACGCUGAUA
rnacentral:rRNA from 1 species